GAAAUGCGAUAAGUAAUGUGAAUUGCAGAAUUCAGUGAAUCAUCGAAUCUUUGAACGCACAUUGCGCCCGCCAGUAUUCUGGCGGGCAUGCCUGUUCGAGCGUCAUUUCAACCAUCAAGCCCCCCGGCUUGUGUUGGGGACCUGCGGCUGCCGCAGGCCCUGAAAAGCAGUGGCGGGCUCGCUGUCACACCGAGCGUAGUAGCAUACAUCUCGCUCUGGGCGUGCUGCGGGUUCCGGCCGUUAAACCACCUUCGUAACCCAAGGUUGACCUCGGAUCAGGGAGGAAGACCCGCUGAACUUAAGC
rnacentral:misc_RNA from 1 species